rnacentral:rRNA from 1 species
UACGUAGGGUGCGAGCGUUAAUCGGAAUUACUGGGCGUAAAGGGCUCGUAGGCGGCCAACUAAGUCGGACGUGAAAUCCCUCGGCUUAACCGGGGAACUGCGUCCGAUACUGGAUGGCUUGAGAUUGGGAGAGGGAUGCGGAAUUCCAGGUGUAGCGGUGAAAUGCGUAGAUAUCCGGAAGAACACCUGAGGCGAAGGCGGCUUGCCAGAAUGCGCUCGACGGUGAGGGAUGAAAGCUGGGGGAGCAAACCGG